UUAGUGUAUAAUAUAUAUCAGAUUAUACAAUAAUCCAAUUAAAUAAUCAUAUAUACUGCAUGUAUGUUUGUAUCAAUAUUUGACAUAGAUGCUGCAGUUAUUAAAGAAAAGGUGAAAUCAGCCCCUGUAAAGAAAGGUAAAAAUGUUUUCAAAUCUGUGGUUAAUAUGUAAUUUGAUAGUGCUUGAUAGAGGCUGAAAGUCACUAUUUUACUGAGAAGCUGAAUUUAGCAGUGAGAAGACCAAACCAGCUCUUGCAAAAAAAUAAUGAAAUGGCCCAAUUCUUUAGAUUCAUUUUGUGUCUUCUCCAAUGAUUGUUUUAGAAGCUGAAAUUCACAAAGAAAACGCCAAAGCAGCUUCAUCAAAGAAAGAGUCCAAGGAAACUAAGGAACAAGCCAAACCAGAGCCUUCAAAAGAAGGUACAGAUAGGAUGUUUUUUUCUGGCUUCAAAAUGUAUAAUGGCGCAAUUCUUGAGAUUCAUGUUGUGUCUUGUCCAAUGAUUGUUUUAGACAGUGAAGUUCCCAAAGAACAAACCAUAGCAGCUACAUCAAAGAAAGGUGCAAAUUAUUCUUUGUGUACCACAGAUCUAGAUCGGUACACAGAUCUAGUUUAUUAAAUCAUUUUUCUCUGAUUUAGAUGCUGAAGCAAAAGAAAAGGCCAAAUUAGCUCCAGAAAAGAAAGGUAUGAAAUUAUUUUUGAAUUGUUAAUUUUCCGCUUAUUCAAAUAAUAGGUAGGCAGCCUAUUUGUCCAUUUUAUGCUAUUUAUAAAACAUUCAAUAAGUUAUUAUUGUAAGGACUGUUGUACGUGAACUUAGAAGCUGAAGUUUCCAAAGAAAAAGCCAAAGUAACUCCUUCAAAUGAAGGUAACAGAAUGUAUUGAUUUUUAACACCACCAAUAUAAUAUUACAGACAGUACAUAAUCUCAGAGAAAAAAAAAUAUCCUGCUAUAUUCAUAGAGAAACACAAUUAUGUUGCUUUUGAUUCAGAUGCUGCAGUUAUUAAAGAAAAGAUCAAAUCAGCCCCUGCAAAGAAAGGUAAGAAUGUGGUUAGUAUGUAAUUAGGAAUUUGUUAUAAUAUUUGUUUGCAUUGUGUUGUAUUUUAUUAAAUUCACUGCAUAUUUUUUGU
rnacentral:lncRNA from 1 species